CCUACGGGAGGCAGCAGUGAGGAAUAUUGGUCAAUGGGCGGAAGCCUGAACCAGCCAAGUCGCGUGAGGGAAUAAGGCCCUACGGGUCGUAAACCUCUUUUGCCGGGGAGCAAGGGCCGGGACGCGUCCCGGCCCGGAGAGUACCCGGAGAAAAAGCAUCGGCUAACUCCGUGCCAGCAGCCGCGGUAAUACGGAGGAUGCGAGCGUUAUCCGGAUUUAUUGGGUUGAAAGGGUGCGUAGGCGGUCUUUUAAGUCAGCGGUAAAAAUUCGGGGCUCAACCCCGUCCGGCCGUUGAAACUGGGGGCCGUGAGUGGGCGAGAAGAAGGCGGAAUGCGUGGUGUAGCGGUGAAAUGCAUAGAUAUCACGCAGAACCCCGAUUGCGAAGGCAGCCUUCCGGCGCCCUACUGACAUUGAUGCUCGAAAGUGUGGGUAUCAAACAGGAUUAGAUACCCGUGUAGUC
rnacentral:rRNA from 1 species